UCUCAUUUUGUCAUGCCAAAAAAAAAAUAAAGAAACUAAAAGAAAAAUAAAAAAUUAAAAAGAGAUUUGUGCCAAAAUUAAAAGCAAUUUCCUUUGCAGUUUCAAAAAGCAAGAAAAUCUGCUCAAUUUCCCAGCACAUCAAUUUAAUUCAAUUUAUUUAAUGUCCAUGUGUGUGCCAGUGUGCGUGCCCGUGCUCGUGUGUAUAUAAAGCCCUGUGUAUCAUAAAACUGCCUGCCUUUAAAAUAUCUUGAUACAAUCCAGCGGAACUCCCGCAAGGCCACAUUGCCAAACGGGAACGGCGGUCCUUGCAAAUUUGACGGCUUGACAGAAGGCAGCCGGAGUCAGUCGACCCGCAUACAAGUACACACACACACACACUCGCGCACACACACACAGGCACGCCAGCAACUCGUGAUAUUUGAUGGAUGGUAUCGCAGAUAUGUUAACGUGCUGGCAGCCAACGGAUUCGCGGAAUGGCGACGUUAUUCACCGACUUGGCAGCGUGCCUUUGAUAUGGGAGACACAAUGGGCCAGAGCUGAACAGAAUUGAAAAUCAGUCUGGGACAAUGCAGCGUAUAGGCCUACGCUCUCAGGGGGCUGCUUUAAUACUUAACAUACAAUGCAUGAAAAAAAGAAUAUCAACAGAAGCGAGUAAAUGGAACCCAUACGUGCUUGUGAAGCCCAUUCAAAUAAGUAUGCUAAUAAAAAAAAUUUAAGAAUAUAUUUAAAAA